AUGUCUGGAAGGCUGUGGUGCAAGGCCAUUUUUGCUGGCUACAAGCGAGGUCUCUGGAACCAAAGAGAGCACGCAGCUCUUCUUAAAAUUGAAGGCGUUGAUGCCCGAGAUGAAAUGGGAUUCUACUUAUCUACUUAGGCAAGAGAUGCUUUCAUGCAUAUAAAGCAAAAACAAUACAGUGGCCGGGCAGUGGUGGUGCAUGCCUGUAAUCCCAGCACGCGGGAGGCAGAUUUCUGAGUUCGAGGCCAGCCUGGUCUACAAAGUGAGUUCCAGGACAGCCAGGGCUAUACAGAGAAACCCUGUCUCGAAAAAACAAAACAAAAAAAAAAACCAAAAACCAAAAAACCAACCAAACAAACAAACAAACAAAAAAAUAUAGUGGCUCCUGGAGGCAAACCAAACAAACCCAGAGUGAUCUGGGGAAAAGUAACUCGGGCCCACGGAAACGGUGGUAUGAUUCACGCCAAAUUCCGAAGCAACUUCCUGCGAAGGCCCUUGGACACAGAAUCCGUGUGAUGCCGUACCCAUCCCAGAUUUAA
rnacentral:lncRNA from 1 species